rnacentral:rRNA from 1 species
UUUUGUAUAAUGGGUCAGCGACUUAUAUUCUGUAGCAAGGUUAACCGUAUAGGGGAGCCGGAGGGAAACCGAGUCUUAACCGGGCGUUAAGUUGCAGGGUAUAGACCCGAAACCCGGUGAUCUAGCCAUGGGCAGGUUGAAGGUUGGGUAACACUAACUGGAGGACCGAACCGACUAAUGUUGAAAAAUUAGCGGAUGACCUGUGGCUGGGGGUGAAAGGCCAAUCAAACCGGGAGAUAGCUGGUUCUCCCCGAAAGCUAUUUAGGUAGCGCCUCGUGAAUUCAUCUCCGGGGGUAGAGCACUGUUUCGGCUAGGGGGCCAUCCCGGCUUACCAACCCGAUGCAAACUGCGAAUACCGGAGAAUGUUAUCACGGGAGACACACGGCGGGUGCUAACGUCCGUCGUGAAGAGGGAAACAACCCAGACCGCCAGCUAAGGUCCCAAAGUCAUGGUUAAGUGGGAAACGAUGUGGGAAGGCCCAGACAGCCAGGAUGUUGGCUUAGAAGCAGCCAUCAUUUAAAGAAAGCGUAAUAGCUCACUGGUCGAGUCGGCCUGCGCGGAAGAUGUAACGGGGCUAAACCAUGCACCGAAGCUGCGGCAGCGAACGUAUCACCCAAGACAACUUUACGGAGUUGACGAUUGACGGAGCGAAGCGACGUCAAAGCGUUCAUUAAAGUCGAGUUGGCUUAGGGAUACGUUCGUUGGGUAGGGGAGCGUUCUGUAAGCCUGUGAAGGUGUGUCGUGAGGCAUGCUGGAGGUAUCAGAAGUGCGAAUGCUGACAUAAGUAACGAUAAAGCGGGUGAAAAGCCCGCUCGCCGGAAGACCAAGGGUUCCUGUCCAACGUUAAUCGGGGCAGGGUGAGUCGACCCCUAAGGCGAGGCCGAAAGGCGUAGUCGAUGGGAAACGGGUUAAUAUUCCCGUACUUGGUGUUACUGCGAAGGGGGGACGGAGAAGGCUAUGUUGGCCGGGCGACGGUUGUCCCGGUUUAAGCGUGUAGGUGUGUGUUCCAGGUAAAUCCGGUUCACUUUAACACUGAGGCGUGACGACGAGGCACUACGGUGCUGAAGCAACAAAUGCCCUGCUUCCAGGAAAAGCCUCUAAGCAUCAGGUAACACGAAAUCGUACCCCAAACCGACACAGGUGGUCAGGUAGAGAAUACCAAGGCGCUUGAGAGAACUCGGGUGAAGGAACUAGGCAAAAUGGUGCCGUAACUUCGGGAGAAGGCACGCUGACACGUAGGUGAAGUGAUUUACUCAUGGAGCUGAAGUCAGUCGAAGAUACCAGCUGGCUGCAACUGUUUAUUAAAAACACAGCACUGUGCAAACACGAAAGUGGACGUAUACGGUGUGACGCCUGCCCGGUGCCGGAAGGUUAAUUGAUGGGGUCAGCGUAAGCGAAGCUCCUGAUCGAAGCCCCGGUAAACGGCGGCCGUAACUAUAACGGUCCUAAGGUAGCGAAAUUCCUUGUCGGGUAAGUUCCGACCUGCACGAAUGGCGUAAUGAUGGCCAGGCUGUCUCCACCCGAGACUCAGUGAAAUUGAACUCGCUGUGAAGAUGCAGUGUACCCGCGGCAAGACGGAAAGACCCCGUGAACCUUUACUAUAGCUUGACACUGAACAUUGAGCCUUGAUGUGUAGGAUAGGUGGGAGGCUUUGAAGUGUGGACGCCAGUCUGCAUGGAGCCGACCUUGAAAUACCACCCUUUAAUGUUUGAUGUUCUAACGUGGACCCGUAAUCCGGGUUGCGGACAGUGUCUGGUGGGUAGUUUGACUGGGGCGGUCUCCUCCUAAAGAGUAACGGAGGAGCACGAAGGUUGGCUAAUCCUGGUCGGACAUCAGGAGGUUAGUGCAAUGGCAUAAGCCAGCUUGACUGCGAGCGUGACGGCGCGAGCAGGUGCGAAAGCAGGUCAUAGUGAUCCGGUGGUUCUGAAUGGAAGGGCCAUCGCUCAACGGAUAAAAGGUACUCCGGGGAUAACAGGCUGAUACCGCCCAAGAGUUCAUAUCGACGGCGGUGUUUGGCACCUCGAUGUCGGCUCAUCACAUCCUGGGGCUGAAGUAGGUCCCAAGGGUAUGGCUGUUCGCCAUUUAAAGUGGUACGCGAGCUGGGUUUAGAACGUCGUGAGACAGUUCGGUCCCUAUCUGCCGUGGGCGCUGGAGAACUGAGGGGGGCUGCUCCUAGUACGAGAGGACCGGAGUGGACGCAUCACUGGUGUUCGGGUUGUCAUGCCAAUGGCACUGCCCGGUAGCUAAAUGCGGAAGAGAUAAGUGCUGAAAGCAUCUAAGCACGAAACUUGCCCCGAGAUGAGUUCUCCCUGAGACUUAG